GGCUCUAUUGUCUAAAGGAUAAGACCUAACAUCUUCAUUGUUAUUAUCUUGGUUCGAAUCCAAGUAGGGCUA
rnacentral:tRNA from 1 species